rnacentral:lncRNA from 12 species
CACAAAUCAGGUCCUUGCCCACAGGGCCAGCCCGAGUGUGCCAAGCCCAGCAUUCCCCAUGUCUCCUGCAGCAGAGGAGAAAGGUCCUGCCUUGUGUGAGCCCCAUAACCAGGGAAACAAUGAGAACGCUCGAGCUGAAACUGGAGAAUUUUUGUUUCUGGUAAGAGGCAGUCAUGUCCUGCAGGUCUCUGAUGGUGCAGCAGGCACUGUUUGGCUCCUGAGAUGCAGUGGCCACCAGCCUGCGACCAGACUCUAGGAGUCAGCCUUCCACUUGGAGAAGCCUUGCCGUGUUUGGCCCCUUUCCUGCUGCAGCACACCGCAGCCGGAGUGCCAAGGAGGAGAUGCACAGAGCCGGCACUGGGAGCAGCUGUCCCAGUUUGUGGAAACUUUCUUGCCUUUUUAAGGACAUGCAGAGUGCUGUGCUCUAACUUUAGCACAAAGGGGAUCCUCACAGCUGAGAGGCUCUAGAGGAACAGGAGGAUCCUUAUGGGCACUGCCAAGGCUGAGAUCUCAGCAAUCCAGCAUGUGCAGGAAGUGUGUCCUGAAAAAGAGCUGGGUCUGGGUACAGUACAUCUCUGAUGUGACCCCUGGAGAUUUUGCUCACCACGUGUAUCCACGUCAUUCCCUCCCUGCCAC